CCUACGGGAGGCAGCAGUGGGGAAUAUUGGACAAUGGGCGAAAGCCUGAUCCAGCAAUGCCGCGUGAGUGAUGAAGGCCUUAGGGUUGUAAAGCUCUUUUACCAGGGAUGAUAAUGACAGUACCUGGAGAAUAAGCUCCGGCUAACUCCGUGCCAGCAGCCGCGGUAAUACGGAGGGAGCUAGCGUUGUUCGGAAUUACUGGGCGUAAAGCGUACGUAGGCGGUUAUUCAAGUCAGAGGUGAAAGCCUGGAGCUCAACUCCAGAACUGCCUUUGAAACUAGAUAGCUAGAAUCACGGAGAGGUUAGUGGAAUUCCGAGUGUAGAGGUGAAAUUCGUAGAUAUUCGGAAGAACACCAGUGGCGAAGGCGACUAACUGGACGUGUAUUGACGCUGAGGUACGAAAGCGUGGGGAGCAAACAGGAUUAGAUACCCUGGUAGUCCACGCCGUAAACGAUGAUAACUAGCUGUUCGGUCUCUACGAGACUGAGUGGCGCAGCUAACGCAUUAAGUUAUCCGCCUGGGGAGUACGGUCGCAAGNUUAAAACUCAAAGGAAUUGACGG
rnacentral:rRNA from 1 species